AUGCCUCUUGGGAAGGCUCUCCUUCAUUGUUCUCCAGAAAUGGAGAGAAAGCAAGACAAGAAGCAGGGCCUGGUGCAGAGCCUCAAUUCCUACUUCAUGGAUGUGAAAUGCCCAGGAUGCCAUAAGAUCAGCAUGAUUGUUAGCCAUGCACAAAUAGUAGUUUUGUGGGUCGUCUGCUCCACUGUCCUCUGUCAGCAAACAGGAGGAAAAGCAAGGCUUACAGAAGAAUGUUCCUUCAGAUGGAAGCAACACUAA
rnacentral:lncRNA from 1 species